CAGUCGCCACGGUAAGACAGAGGAUGCAAGCGUUAUCCGGAAUGAUUGGGCGUAAAGCGUCUGUAGGUGGCUUUUCAAGUCCGCCGUCAAAUCCCCGGGCUCAACCGGGGAGGGUCAUUGGAAACUGGGAAACUUGAGUGCAGAAGAGGAGAGUGGAAUUCCACGUGUAGCGGUGAAAUGCGUAGAGAUGUGGAGGAACACCAGUGGCGAAGGCGACUCUCUGGUCUGUAACUGAUGCUGAGGAGCGAAAGCGUGGGGAGCGAACAGGAUUAGAUACCCCUGUAGUCCCUGUCUCUUAACC
rnacentral:rRNA from 1 species